CCUGACUGAAAGGAGUGUCCAAACACCUGAUGAAGGAGAUGCUGAAAGGUCGUGCAUGCCUGUGUGCUCGGUCGUGUCGACUCUUUGCGACCCCAUGGACUGCAGCCCCCCAGGCUCCUCUGUCCAUGGGAUUCCCAUGGACAAUGGGAAAUAGAACGAGAAUAGGACAAGAAUACUAGAGCGGGUUGCCAUCUUCUACUCCAGGGGACCUUCCUGACCCAGAGAUCGAACCCAUAUCUCCUGCAUUGGCAGGCAGAUUCUUUACCACUGAGCCACCUGGGGAGCCCUCAUUAAAAGAUCAUUUUCAAGGAAAAGAUCAUGAUUCCAUACAGAUAAAAAGAUGAAUAUAUGUUAAACAUUUUAAUUUAUAAGGGAACCAGGCAGAUGUUAUAACCAACAACAGAACACUCACAUUCAUAGGUCAGGAAUAUUGAAAUGAAUGGGCAGAUGGAGGUGAAACUGAUUUUUCCACAAGGGGAUAGGGGAAACCUCUAAGACAGGAUAAAUUUAUCGUUACUUCAAUUUACCGGGCUGUAAAACAGCUCAAAGAUGAUGAAAGGCUAGAAUCCACUAACUCAGAAGAUGUGCUGCAUGUAGAGUCUGUAGUUUUCCACUGAAGAGCACAUUUUUUUUUUUUCCUCUGCAAAAGGAAGGUCAUGGCUAGGGCAGACUCCAAGGUCUCUGAGCUGAUGAUCAUUCAUGAGAUUAGUGUGAUUCACACACCAUGAAUGCAAGAGCCUUUCUGAAUGCACGGGGAAAGUACACCUCACUUGCAGAAGCCCACAGCCUAAAAUCAACAUCUCUUUAAAAUGAAGGCCUCAAGACAUUUAAGAUUGUUUUCAGCUGGAUUUGGGCAUCUGUGUUACAUGAUGGGCUCUGGAACAUUCUUGAACAUCUUCAUGCAGGAUCUUAGUUCCCUGACCAGGGGUCGAACUUGCACCCCCUGCAGUGGAAGCAUGGAAUCUUAACUACUGGACCACCAGGGAAGCUCCCGUGAUGUGCAGCUUGUCUUUGAACUGGGAUAUUAACAGUAGCUACUUCAUAGAUUAUUGUUUUUUACCAGUAAGUAUUCACAAUAUUAGCAUUGUAACUUAAUAAAACCAUUUCUCUGAAAAUGUACUGUAGUCUCUGAGAUUCUUCU
ensembl:lncRNA